rnacentral:misc_RNA from 1 species
AAGGGACAGUGAGUCAUCGAAUCUUUGAACGCACAUUGCGCCCUUUGGUAUUCCAAAGGGCAUGCCUGUUCGAGCGUCAUUUGUACCCUCAAGCUUUGCUUGGUGUUGGGCGUCUUGUCUCUAGCUUUGCUGGAGACUCGCCUUAAAGUAAUUGGCAGCCGGCCUACUGGUUUCGGAGCGCAGCACAAGUCGCACUCUCUAUCAGCAAAGGUCUAGCAUCCAUUAAGCCUUUUUUUCAACUUUUGACCUCGGAUCAGGUAGGGAUACCCGCUGAACUUAAGCAUAUCAAUAAGCGGAGGA